GAGCAAACCGGACCAACAAGUUGGCGAGAGUGAAAAGCGUCUGUACUCACGUAUCUGGUGAUGAGGUUCCGGAUGGUGCUGAAAUCCAUUCUGCUCGAGCCGCUCCAGGCUUGACAAGCGACAGUCCUUGCACGACCGGAGAGAUUAUUAUUGCCUCUACUGAGCACCUACAGAGAUGAAGAAGGCUACUAUGGAAAGUCCAAACGUUGUCAUAGUGACGUGCUCCGGCGUGACUUAUACUGCGAAUGAGGGGAAAACAACAGCACGCGCUCGUUCUCCGGUGUUUCACUUGAUUAUUUGAAGGGACUGGUCACUUCUUCCUUGUCGAGCGUCCCUUCGGGCUGUUCUGUGGUGUACUGACGUACUCGCUCUCCUUCUCGGUGUAGUAGAUGGAUAGAGCCCGUCUGCUCGCACCGGAGACGUCAUGAGCCCCGUGAGCGCACGCGCACUCUCCGGCUACACCCACCCGACCGCCCGCGGGGAGUUUUGGUUCAGCCUGCCCUCCGGUUACUCUGUUACUCCCCCUUCCAGUUACUGCCAAUCAAUCUCGACGACAAACCAGUACAGCAUGGUGAUGACAUCAAGAACUUAACAGAGCCGUUCAAGCGUUUCGGCAUUUACUGUUUGUGAGUGAUGCUGUGAUACUAAAGAGGAAGAAAGUUGUUGAAAUAAGUAGAACAAGAAGUACCAACAACAAUAAUAACAACAAAAACAAUAAUUAUUCAUAUUGUUGAUAUAUUAUCAUGCUAAAAUAUUAUAAUAAUCAUAAUAAAUGUAUAAAUAAAGGGACUAAGCUAAAGGAAAAUAAAUAAUGUAGCUAUUAUGUAUACACCAUUAUUUCAUUUACUGAUUUUUCAUUUUUAUGUAAUGUGAUUUUUAAUGUAGUUAUUGUGAUAAUUUUGCUAAAUAAUAAAUGUAUAUUC
ensembl:processed_transcript